ACACCCAUCUGUUAGAAAAGAAUAUCCCCAUCACCAUGCUUAAUAAAAAGAAAGGAGGAUAAACCUGUUACACUUGUAUUGAGCAUUUUCUUUUUGUUACUACUGGUGAAAUGAGGAUUCAAUGUUAUUCAAUGUCAUGCUCUGAGUUUUGUUUAUCUGUUUAUGUAUGGAGAACAGGUGGUGCUGGUAUCUGGUGAGACUGGUUGCAGGAAAACAACUCAGGAAUUAUGUCGUAUGUAGGGCCUUCUAGUUCUGCCCCAGGAAGCACCACAAAGAUAAAAGUUUCAAUUAGUCUAGUUGGAGAGAUUAUUGGAGAUAACAAAAAUCAAUUCACCUCAUUUUUAGGAAAUGUGGUCAGGACUCAUUGUCCAAUUGCAUACAAAGACUGGCGGCUUGUGCCAGAUACCAUCAAGGAUAAUGUUUGGUCAACUAUUUUGGCCAAAUAUGAUGUUGACGACAGUGACAGCUGUAAAACUGCCAUAAUUAAGCGUGCUAAUGAUAUGUGGAAGGACUAGAAGAACCGAUUAUGAGGAACUGUCCUGGAUAUGUAUGAUAAUGAUGGAGACAGGAAAAAAAAUUACCCUAAUGGCGUAAAGCUAGAAGAUUGGGUCAAAUUCGUUGAUUACGAAUCUACAGAAGAGGCAAAGUCUCGUCGUGGAAAGGGAAAGGAAUCCAGAAGCGAAAUGAAGUUCCCUCACAUGACUGGGCGAUGGGGAUCUGCUAGGACGGCA